rnacentral:misc_RNA from 1 species
AUGUAUCAUCGCCGAGUUAUUCAAAUGAAUGAAAAAGAGCUCCGAGCAGUUACAGCAAUUGUGUUACCCGGAAGAAAGGGUGAUCAGCUGAAAAUUGGAGAAAUGCAAGAAAUGUGCAUAAAGUGGUUAUUCUCAAAUGGACUCUCGAUUAACCACGUUUUCGAGAUUCAUGAUGAUGGAGAUGGUGAUUUAUUUUGUGUGAUGAGAAAUUCCGAUGCUUGUUGGUGUUGUCCAAAAUCCUCUGAACUAGGAACUCUAACUGAUUUCGAUCGAGGUCCAAUUGGGGACAAUUAUAGAAGAACACCAUCUCCGGUUCGAAAACCAACUACCGAAACAACAAAAGAAGAUCUGGAACCUGAAAAGAAAGUGAAAUUUGCACUUCCUUCUCCCGAACUUCCAGCUUCUUCGCCGCCACCAAAACCACAGAAACCAAAACUGCCAUCUCAGAAAAUUGCUCCAAUUACAGUUCAGCCAACAAUCGUGACGAUUCCGGAUAAAAUACAUAAAGAAGGAAAAGAGCAACAAGGAGCAUGUGCAUAUUGUAAAAGAGAAUGUGGAUUAUGUAUUGUCACGUUAUGUGCACAAUUUUGAAAUUAAUAUUUUAUAAAAUUUACUUUUUGAUAUUCUUUUCUGAAAAACCAUGACUUUUCCAAAAGAAAAUAUCAACAACUACGCCAGUUCUUCGUUCAAUUAUAAAUACCUAAUUGAAGAAUUUCUUCAAUGGAGCUCCUCAUGUAAUCGCAUCUCCUAUCCUACCAAAUACUUUGAUUUUCUACUCGUCAUCAUCAUGACUUUUGUGUUCCUUUGUCUAGUAUAUUUACUUAUUUGGAUUGAAGUUUUGUUGAAUUCUUCUCGGCCUGAUCCAAAGCAUCGUGUCUAUUACCCGAGAACAAAUUUUUGGCAGAGAACAGACUAG